rnacentral:lncRNA from 10 species
GCCUUGCUCUAUUGCUCGUUGGCACUGAGGGAAGCUCUCUGGGGAGAGGAGCCCACCAAUGCUUGGCUGACAAGACCUCAGUCAUGUCUGAUGUGGCUUCACCUUUGCUGCCGUCUUCGUAUCACUAGGGGAGCCCUGUGGAGUGGGGUGGAGUUCAAGAUGGAUUCUCAAGAAGUUAUAGGAAGCUCUUUAUCAAUUCAAUUCCUGAGAAGGGCCCACUUCAGGGAUGUUACAGUGCAGACAAAGAUUCUGGUGCCUCACAAGAUUUGACACAAGCCAGCGCUUUGUUGUUUUUCUCACCUGUUGGCCAGAAGAUUAUCUUGGAGCAGGAAAAGCCAAGUGGAAGAAGCCAAGUGAAGGGCUAUGGGGACCUAGAAGAUGGAGUCGUCACACAGUGGAAGAAUUGCAGAUCUCUGAGUCACCAUUUGGACAAGAACCUACUAGAACAGGUGCCUGAACAAGAACACUGGACUUUGUGUGAGUGAGAAACAAACUUUUAUUGUGUUAAGCCACCGAGAUUUUGGGUUGGUUUUUAUAGUAGCUGGUGUUGCUUACACUGACUAAUACAUCUUGAAAGUAAAUGAUGCAAAACAAUUCUACUUAUUCACAGGGGGUGGUAUUUAUAAGGGAAAAGAAUAACAGGGUGGUGUCAGUGAUGGGUCCUGAUAAGUAAGCAACAACAAGGAAGGGGCCCCAGGUAGGGAAGAACAAUUGUUCUGAGAGACUGUUAAUCACAAACAACCUGCUAGCCCCACAUCCUGUUCUCAAAUACUUUGCUCAGCAUGUAGCCCCAGCAGCAUGACUUUGUCUGCAUGUAGACCCUCCAGCAUGACCCUAUAAAAUUUCCCUCCAGCCACUGCCUCUUGGCAGACAGUCCCUUCUCUGCUGUGCUGCCCACUGCUUUCUUACAACGUUAUCUUUGUACUUUCUCUAAUAAAUCUGCCUUUCUUUACCCACAA